GCGGUCUCCUCCUAAAGAGUAACGGAGGAGCACGAAGGUUGGCUAAUCCUGGUCGGACAUCAGGAGGUUAGUGCAAUGGCAUAAGCCAGCUUGACUGCGAGCGUGACGGCGCGAGCAGGUGCGAAAGCAGGUCAUAGUGAUCCGGUGGUUCUGAAUGGAAGGGCCAUCGCUCAACGGAUAAAAGGUACUCCGGGGAUAACAGGCUGAUACCGCCCAAGAGUUCAUAUCGACGGCGGUGUUUGGCACCUCGAUGUCGGCUCAUCACAUCCUGGGGCUGAAGUAGGUCCCAAGGGUAUGGCUGUUCGCCAUUUAAAGUGGUACGCGAGCUGGGUUUAGAACGUCGUGAGACAGUUCGGUCCCUAUCUGCCGUGGGCGCUGGAGAACUGAGGGGGGCUGCUCCUAGUACGAGAGGACCGGAGUGGACGCAUCACUGGUGUUCGGGUUGUCAUGCCAAUGGCACUGCCCGGUAGCUAAAUGCGGAAGAGAUAAGUGCUGAAAGCAUCUAAGCACGAAACUUGCCCCGAGAUGAGUUCUCCCUGACUCCUUGAGAGUCCUGAAGGAACGUUGAAGACGACGACGUUGAUAGGCCGGGUGUGUAAGCGCAGCGAUGCGUUGAGCUAACCGGUACUAAUGAACCGUGAGGCUUAACCUUACAACGCCGAAG
rnacentral:rRNA from 1 species